rnacentral:rRNA from 1 species
UACGGGGGGGCAAGCGGUUGUUCGGAAUUACUGGGCGUAAAGGGCUCGUAGGCGGCCAACUAAGUCAUACGUGAAAUCCCUCGGCUUAACCGGGGAACUGCGUCUGAUACUGGAUGGCUUGAGUUCGGGAGAGGGAUGCGGAAUUCCAGGUGUAGCGGUGAAAUGCGUAGAUAUCUGGAGGAACACCGGUGGCGAAGGCGGCAUCCUGGACCAAUUCUGA